rnacentral:lncRNA from 1 species
AGCUGAGAGCACUCAGCUCAUAGAUUCUCUGUGGGGAGAGUGAAUAAAGUUACCUGGGACUAAUUGUAGAGAGGAGAAUUUAAUCGAAAAUGUGAAGAACAGAGAAGACAUACAAGCUAAUUAGUGUUUUCCUACUUAUCAAAGACCCUUGGUUCAGAGACAGAGCAUCAAACAAAAGCCAGACGUGACCAUAAGAAAAUUGUAUUUUUAAAGGUUUUCACUGAAAACCCAAACCAAGAAAUAGCAACACAUCUAGAAUACUUACUACUAUAAAGCUCACCUGGAUA